rnacentral:rRNA from 1 species
UGAGGAAUAUUGGUCAAUGGGCGAGAGCCUGAACCAGCCAAGUAGCGUGCAGGAUGACGGCCCUAUGGGUUGUAAACUGCUUUUAUGUGGGGAUAAAGUGCGUGACGUGUCAUGCAUUGCAGGUACCACAUGAAUAAGGACCGGCUAAUUCCGUGCCAGCAGCCGCGGUAAUACGGAAGGUCCGGGCGUUAUCCGGAUUUAUUGGGUUUAAAGGGAGCGUAGGCUGUCUAUUAAGCGUGUUGUGAAAUUUACCGGCUCAACCGGUGGCUUGCAGCGCGAACUGGUCGACUUGAGUAUGCAGGAAGUAGGCGGAAUUCAUGGUGUAGCGGUGAAAUGCUUAGAUAUCAUGACGAACUCCGAUUGCGCAGGCAGCUUACUGUAGCAUAACUGACGCUAAUGCUCGAAAGUGCGGGUAUCAAACAGG